GUCGAACGAACUCUGGUAUUGAUUGGUGCUUGCAUCAUGAUUUACAUUUGAGUGAGUGGCGAACUGGUGAGUAACACGUGGGAAACCUGCCCAGAAGCGGGGGAUAACACCUGGAAACAGAUGCUAAUACCGCAUAACAACUUGGACCGCAUGGUCCGAGUUUGAAAGAUGGCUUCGGCUAUCACUUUUGGAUGGUCCCGCGGCGUAUUAGCUAGAUGGUGGGGUAACGGCUCACCAUGGCAAUGAUACGUAGCCGACCUGAGAGGGUAAUCGGCCACAUUGGGACUGAGACACGGCCCAAACUCCUACGGGAGGCAGCAGUAGGGAAUCUUCCACAAUGGACGAAAGUCUGAUGGAGCAACGCCGCGUGAGUGAAGAAGGGUUUCGGCUCGUAAAACUCUGUUGUUAAAGAAGAACAUAUCUGAGAGUAACUGUUCAGGUAUUGACGGUAUUUAACCAGAAAGCCACGGCUAACUACGUGCCAGCAGCCGCGGUAAUACGUAGGUGGCAAGCGUUGUCCGGAUUUAUUGGGCGUAAAGCGAGCGCAGGCGGUUUUUUAAGUCUGAUGUGAAAGCCUUCGGCUCAACCGAAGAAGUGCAUCGGAAACUGGGAAACUUGAGUGCAGAAGAGGACAGUGGAACUCCAUGUGUAGCGGUGAAAUGCGUAGAUAUAUGGAAGAACACCAGUGGCGAAGGCGGCUGUCUGGUCUGUAACUGACGCUGAGGCUCGAAAGUAUGGGUAGCAAACAGGAUUAGAUACCCUGGUAGUCCAUACCGUAAACGAUGAAUGCUAAGUGUUGGAGGGUUUCCGCCCUUCAGUGCUGCAGCUAACGCAUUAAGCAUUCCGCCUGGGGAGUUACGGCCGCAAGGCUGAAACUCAAAGGAAUUGACGGGGGCCCGCACAAGCGGUGGAGCAUGUGGUUUAAUUCGAAGCUACGCGAAGAACCUUACCAGGUCUUGACAUACUAUGCAAAUCUAAGAGAUUAGACGUUCCCUUCGGGGACAUGGAUACAGGUGGUGCAUGGUUGUCGUCAGCUCGUGUCGUGAGAUGUUGGGUUA
rnacentral:rRNA from 2 species